UGGAGGGCAAGUCUGGUGCCAGCAGCCGCGGUAAUUCCAGCUCCAAUAGCGUAUAUUAAAGUUGUUGCAGUUAAAAAGCUCGUAGUUGAACCUUGGGUCUGGCUGGCCGGUCCGCCUCACCGCGAGUACUGGUCCGGCUGGACCUUUCCUUCUGGGGAACCUCAUGGCCUUCACUGGCUGUGGGGGAAACCAGGACUUUUACUGUGAAAAAAUUAGAGUGUUCAAAGCAGGCCUUUGCUCGAAUACAUUAGCAUGGAAUAAUAGAAUAGGACGUGCGGUUCUAUUUUGUUGGUUUCUAGGACCGCCGUAAUGAUUAAUAGGGAUAGUCGGGGGCGUCAGUAUUCAGCUGUCAGAGGUGAAAUUCUUGGAUUUGCUGAAGACUAACUACUGCGAAANCAUUCGCCAAGGANGUUUUCAUNAAUCAGGGAACGAAAGUUAGGGGAUCGAAGA
rnacentral:rRNA from 1 species